AGUACAGGCGUUUAAUAGCCGAAACCGCGGACAGCUCAUUAUAUCAGUUGUAAUCCGCAAGACUUGUAAUCUUAAUGGAUACCUGUAGCAAAUCUAGAGCUAAUACGCUUUCAAGUUUCGCUACGCUAAUAUUAAAAAAAAAAGUGUCUCGCUAAUAACGGGCACUAUUAAGUAAAGCGUGCGAACAGCACUUAUUAGAACCAUAAUCCUACGGGUAACUAUGGUGACUCUGGAUAUUUAAUUGCUAAGCGCUAUGGUCGAGUACCAACGCUAGUCUAUGCGAGCUUCUGCCCUAUCAGCCAGAUGGUUAGAUCAGGGCUAACCAUGGCUUUGACGGGUAACGGGGAAUCUGGGUUCGAUUCCGGAGAGGGAGCCUGAUAAACGGCUACCACAUCCAAGGAAGGCAGCAGGCGCGGAAUUUAACCUAAUGCUAGCUCUGUGAGUUAGUGACGAAAAAUCUUGAUGUGAGGUUCUUAACGGAGCCUUACAAUUGAAAUGAGUUUAUUGUAAAAACUUAUUACGACAAACUACCGGAGGGCAAGCCUGGUGCCAGCAGCCGCGGUAAUUCCAGCUCCAUUAGCGUAAGCUAAUGUUGCUACGGCUAAAGUGUUCGUAGUUGGCUUUCUACAGCUUUUCGUCCACGGCAACUCCUCAAGGUCUCUGCUUUUGUCGGGUUAACUUAAAAAAAUUGCUUAUUUAUUUAAGCUUUACAUGAUAUAAACCCGCUAGAGCGUGUCUUGGCGAAAUAACGCGGUUCGAUCGGCGAUAGAAAAAGGGUAACGCGCUCCUGAGCAGAGCCGUUCUCUUGAAUGCUCGGUACUCGGUAUCCUCUUAAGUGAGUGUACCUUGGAAACCGGCAUUAUUCACUUUAAUAAAAGUGGAGUGUUUAUAACAGGUCUAUAAACUAUCUCGUGCGCUUUGCUAAAAACGUCUAGCACGAUGAAAUAAGACUUUGUUUCCGUGCUAAAAAAAUUGGCUUCUGAAAACGGCCCGGAACCGAAGUAUGAUUACAGGACUGCCGGCAUAUAGUAAUGGCAGUCGCGAAAGCGUAAUCUUGUGACCGAUGCAAGACU
rnacentral:rRNA from 1 species